UGGGGAAUUUUCCGCAAUGGGCGCAAGCCUGACGGAGCAAUACCGCGUGAGGGAUGAAGGCUUUUGGGUUGUAAACCUCUUUUCUCAAGGAAGAAGUACUGACGGUACUUGAGGAAUCAGCAUCGGCUAACUCCGUGCCAGCAGCCGCGGUAAUACGGAGGAUGCAAGCGUUAUCCGGAAUUAUUGGGCGUAAAGCGUCCGCAGGUGGUGCAUCAAGUCUGCUGUCAAAGACCAGGGCUUAACCCCGGGAAGGCAGUGGAAACUGGUGGACUAGAGUACGGUAGGGGUAGAGGGAAUUCCCAGUGUAGCGGUGAAAUGCGUAGAGAUUGGGAAGAACACCAGUGGCGAAGGCGCUCUANCUGGACCCUGUACUGACACUUCAGGGACGAAAGCUAGGGGAGCGAAAGGGAUUAGAUACCCCUGUAGUC
rnacentral:rRNA from 1 species